rnacentral:lncRNA from 1 species
UACUAUACAUGUCCAUUUCUCUCUCCAUACUCCAAUGCACACCAAAACUCAAUUUCACACUCAUACAAAAACAAACAUUGCACAAGCCUCUCAAUUUCACGUUCAUGGUUUCAGCUCUCUUUUGUUUUACCAGAAACUCUCACCAGAAGGUCAAAUCUGUUACUCACCUCACAAUUUCACCACCACUAACAACAUAUUUGCCAGAUUGUGUCCAUAAUCUUCACUUUUCCACUAAAGUAAUUAUGAGGAUUGUUAGUUUUAGAGAUCCAUGAGUAUAAAAUUAAGAAUUUGAAACCACUAAACUAAUGAUGAUGAAGCUUACGAAGCUGAAGUCGCCGCCACCACCACCAAUUGGUGGUCCACUACCGCUGUUGUUGUCGUCACCAUCGCCACCGACGCUAUUGCCGUUACCAUAGCCACCACCACCACGCUAGGCCACGCUUCUCUCUCUUCAUGCGUGUCCACAAACCGAAGCGAGUGUGAAGGAUCACGUCACUCUCCUCUUCACGCGCGUGUCCUCAUGCAUUAACGAGGAGUUAUUUGACUUUUCAUCCCUCUCUAGUGUUAUUUACUUAAUUUUGUACACAAAAGUACUAUAUUCUUAAAUUUUUUAUGAAAAAUGGUUAUUUCUGCAAACCAUUCUUAAUUUUUCCUUUAUAAUAAUAGAAAAAGACUGAUGCUUUGUCCAAAAAAAAGAAAGUAAGGAAAAGAAAAGAAAAGACUGAUGCAUGAUAAACGUGAGUGCGAAAGUUGGUGUUUAGACCAUUUCUAUUGGUCAUUUUUUUUGUAAGUGUGUUUAAAUUUUUUAUAAUUAAUUUUAGUGUUAUUUAUUGAUGGAUGUCUUUAUAAUGUGUAAAAGCUAUGUUGUAUGAAAAUGGAAACGGAAACUUGGAAGCGA